UAAAAGCUUGGUCCGUGGCCUUGCAGUCAAUUAUUACUUAAUUUACACAUGCAAGUCUCCCCCGCCCCGUGAAAACGCCCUUAAAUCUCCUCCUAGGAACAAGGAGCUGGUAUCAGGCACGAAACCUCUGCCCAAAACACCUAGCUUUGCCACAUCCACAAGGGAACUCAGCAGUGAUUAACAUUAAUUAUGAGCGCAAGCUCAACUUAGUUAAAGUAACACUAGGGCCGGCUAAUCUGGUGCCAGCCGCCGCGGUUACACCAUGAGGCCCAAAUUGACCACAAUCGGCGUAAAGCGUGAUUAAAGCUAUCCAAAUAGAAUUAAAAUAAAACUGAGCCGUGACACGCCUGUUUGUAUGAACCACAAAACAAAGUUAUUCUAACUUACUCAACUUGAAUUCACGACAGUUGGGGAACAAACUAGGAUUAGAUACCCUACUAUGCCCAACCGUAAACUUUAAAUUACACUACCAUCGCCAGGGAACUACGAGCUAAGCUUAAAACCCAAAGGACUUGACGGUACCCCACAUCCCCCUAGAGGAGCCUGUUCUAUAAUCGAUAAUCCACGAUUAACCUCACCAUUUCUAGCUAUCAGCCUGUAUACCUCCGUCGUCAGCUUACCACAUGAGCGCUAACACAGUAAGCCUAAUGUUAUUUCACCCACACGUCAGGUCAAGGUGCAGCUAAUGAAAAGGAAAGAAAUGGGCUACACUUUCUACAAUAGAAAACACGAAGAACUUUAUGAAAUAUAGUUUAAAGGCGGAUUUAGAAGUAAAAAGGAAUCAGCAUGUCCAUUUUAACUCGGUACUGGGGUAUGUACACACCGCCCGUCACCCUCUUCAAAACUACAACAUAAUCUUUAAUAAACUUUAACACCACAGAAGAGGUAAGUCGUAACAUGGUAAGCAUACCGGAAGGUGUGCUUGGAAA
rnacentral:ncRNA from 1 species